GACGAACGCUGGCGGCGCGCCUAACACAUGCAAGUCGAACGAGCGAGAGAGAGUUACUUUUUCGAGCGAGUGGCGAACGGGUGAGUAACGCGUGAGUAACCUGCCCUGGAUGGGGGACAACAGUUGGAAACGACUGCUAAUACCGCAUAAGCCCACGACCCGGCAUCGGGUAGAGGGAAAAGGAGCAAUCCGCUUUGAGAUGGCCUCGCGUCCGAUUAGCUAGUUGGUGAGGUAAUGGCCCACCAAGGCGACGAUCGGUAGCCGGACUGAGAGGUUGAACGGCCACAUUGGGACUGAGACACGGCCCAGACUCCUACGGGAGGCAGCAGUGGGGAAUAUUGCACAAUGGGGGAAACCCUGAUGCAGCGACGCCGCGUGGAGGAAGAAGGUCUUCGGAUUGUAAACUCCUGUUGUUGAGGAAGAUAAUGACGGUACUCAACAAGGAAGUGACGGCUAACUACGUG
rnacentral:rRNA from 1 species